rnacentral:rRNA from 1 species
UACGUAGGGAGCAAGCGUUGUCCGGAAUCAUUGGGCGUAAAGCGCGCGUAGGCGGCCUCAUAAGUCCGUUGUGAAAGUCAAAGGCUCAACCUUUGAAAGCCGAUGGAUACUGUGAGGCUAGAGUCCGGAAGAGGCGAGUGGAAUUCCUGGUGUAGCGGUGGAAUGCGCAGAUAUCAGGAGGAACACCGAUGGCGAAGGCAGCUCGCUGGGACGGUACUGACGCUGAGGCGCGAAAGCGUGGGGAGCGAACAGG